rnacentral:rRNA from 1 species
AAUACUUAGGAAUCUACCUAUUAAUGGGGGACAACAUUUCGAAAGGAAUGCUAAUACCGCAUACGCCCUACGGGGGAAAGCAGGGGAUCUUCGGACCUUGCGUUAAUAGAUGAGCCUAAGUCGGAUUAGCUAGUUGGUGGGGUAAAGGCCUACCAAGGCGACGAUCUGUAGCGGGUCUGAGAGGAUGAUCCGCCACACUGGGACUGAGACACGGCCCAGACUCCUACGGGAGGCAGCAGUGGGGAAUAUUGGACAAUGGGCGAAAGCCUGAUCCAGCCAUGCCGCGUGUGUGAAGAAGGCCUUUUGGUUGUAAAGCACUUUAAGCGAGGAGGAGGCUACUGAGAUUAAUACUCUUGGAUAGUGGACGUUACUCGCAGAAUAAGCACCGGCUAACUCUGUGCCAGCAGCCGCGGUAAUACAGAGGGUGCGAGCGUUAAUCGGAUUUACUGGGCGUAAAGCGUGCGUAGGCGGCUUUUUAAGUCGGAUGUGAAAUCCCUGAGCUUAACUUAGGAAUUGCAUUCGAUACUGGGAAGCUAGAGUAUGGGAGAGGAUGGUAGAAUUCCAGGUGUAGCGGUGAAAUGCGUAGAGAUCUGGAGG